GGACCUGACUGCUAUCGGAUUGAUACUAAGCCACGCGAGUCUUUGUAGUAAUACAAGGCAUACGGCUCAGUAACGCGUAGUCAACCUACCCUAUGGACAAGAAUAAUCUCGGGAAACUGAGCAUAAUUCUUGAUAGAUCAUAAUGCCUGGAAUGGUUUAUGGUUAAAAUGAUUCGUCGCCAUAGGAUGGGACUGCGGCCUAUCAGCUUGUUGGUGAGGUAAUGGCCCACCAAGGCGAUUACAGGUACGGGCUCUGAGAGGAGAAGCCCGGAGAUGGGUACUGAGACACGGACCCAGGCCCUAUGGGGCGCAGCAGGCGAGAAAACUUUGCAAUGUGCGAAAGCACGACAAGGUUAAUCCGAGUGGUUUCUGCUAAAGAAACCUUUUGUCAGUCCUAGAAACACUGAUGAAUAAGGGGUGGGCGAGUUCUGGUGU
rnacentral:rRNA from 1 species